rnacentral:rRNA from 1 species
GACGAACCGUACGAACGUUAUUCGGAAUUACUGGGCUUAAAGGGUGCGUAGGCUGCGCGGAAAGUUGGGUGUGAAAUCCCUCGGCUCAACCGAGGAACUGCGCCCAAAACUACCGUGCUCGAGGGAGACAGAGGUGAGCGGAACUUAGGGUGGAGCGGUGAAAUGCGUUGAUAUCCUAAGGAACACCCGUGGCGAAAGCGGCUCACUGGGUCUCUUCUGACGCUGAGGCACGAAAGCCAGGGGAGCAAACGGG